rnacentral:rRNA from 1 species
GACGAACGCUGGCGGCGUGCUUAACACAUGCAAGUCGAACGCUGAAGCUUGGUGCUUGCACUGGGUGGAUGAGUGGCGAACGGGUGAGUAAUACGUGAGUAACCUGCCCUUGACUCUGGGAUAAGCCUGGGAAACUGGGUCUAAUACUGGAUAUGACAUGCCACUGCAUGGUGGUGUGUGGAAAGGGUUUUACUGGUUUUGGAUGGGCUCACAGCCUAUCAGCUUGUUGGUGGGGUAAUGGCCUACCAAGGCGACGACGGGUAGCCGGCCUGAGAGGGUGACCGGCCACACUGGGACUGAGACACGGCCCAGACUCCUACGGGAGGCAGCAGUGGGGAAUAUUGCACAAUGGGCGGAAGCCUGAUGCAGCGACGCCGCGUGAGGGAUGACGGCCUUCGGGUUGUAAACCUCUUUCAGCACGGAAGAAGCGAGAGUGACGGUACGUGCAGAAGAAGCGCCGGCUAACUACGUG